CUUAAUUUUAUGCCUCCUCCUUACCCACGUCUCUCCACCCUUCUAUCUUUAUCUCUCUGAUCUCCAGCCAAAUCACGUCUCCCCUCCAUCCCUCUUUAUCUCUCUCUCUCUCCCUGUUCUUCUUCUUCCCGAAACUGCUCUCCUUCAACCACAGAUUCGGUUUCGUCUCCAUCCCUAUAUUCGGUUCCGUCUAGCUGUGCUUCAACCGCUCAGAUUUCUGAGGUUACGAUUUCAGAGGUUGCGAUUUCAUCGCUCAGAUUUUCUGAUUAUCUGAAAAUCACCAAGUCGACCAUUUUUUUUCUUGAAAGGCUUGCGGAGAUACCAGAAAACAGAGUUUCUGCAAAGCAUUACGGUUAAUUUUCAGGUUAAAUUCUUUCAGAGUAGCGAGUGAGAGAGGGAGGGAGAGAUGAUUUCAGAGAAGGAAGAAGAAGCAUCAGUUCCUCGGCGCUUAUCCUGCACCACCUGCUUUGAUGCGCUCUGGUUUUGCUAUUAUGCAGCAGUAUUAUAGGCUUGGUGUCCUUGAUAACUGUUCUGGAAAAUGGAAUGCUCUUGUUGAUUGCUUAACUCUGAAAACAAAACGAACUUCUGUAGUGGAGGUACUGCCCUAAUCAGUAAUUGGGACUAAUGUUUGGAUUCUUGGCUUCUUGUAGCGGAGAUAAAGAAGUUGGUGCAGGCAAUUUUUUCUCAAGUAAUGUCAAUGUAUUCAUUAGGAAGGGGAAUUUGGAGAUAGAUAACUUUUAAAAAGGCAGAAGUUUGGAGAAUCUUCUGACGUCUGCCUGAUGUCUGUACUGAAGUGGUUGAGCACUUGUUCUUGUCUGUUUAGAAGCUGGAAUUACCAUUACUCAUAAUAGUUUUUCUAUUAUCAUAUACUUGUAUUUCUUCAUCAUAGCUUGAGAUCAUACCCACAUUUUAGGUUGUGAUGGAGGGAGACAAUUAUGAUUUUAAAAUUCAAGCUAUGUCAUGCAUGGUUUUGAAUAUCGUCCCCCAACUGUGUUGGGUGAUGCGUAUCAAGUUUUUGUCCUGAUAAAAAAUAACGCUCAAUUAGUACAACAUUAAUGUAUGUUUGGGAGGAGAAAGAUUGGGUAUACACCAUAGUAUAUUGGUUGGAAUUGAAAAUCACUUGCGUAUUGGCCGGUUCCCAAUAUGUAUUGGUUCACAGUCGAUACAUAGCCGAUUUGCAGUCAAUACUGUCGGUUCAUAGUCGAUUCAUAGUCAAUAUGGCAGGUUCAUAGCCGAUUCAACUCAAAUAUUUUUGAGGUUGGUGAUUUUAAAAAAUUCACGACCACAACACCCAAUUCUCAAUACAUAUCAGUCGAUACCCCCAAUACUGUUACAUAUUCUGAUACUGCUAUUUGAAACUAUAACGGCAUGUGCAAUUUUCUGUGUUCUGCUGCAAAUAACAAGCUGAGCGCCUCAUA